GACUCUGACCUUCUGUAGUACAAACAGUAAUCGUGAUGUUGUUGUCAUGCGUCACGUUGCCCUCAGUCCAACACUCCUCUCGGUACGGGCCAGAGUCUGAAUGGGUCAGGUUGAGGAUGGUGUAAGAAGAAAUUUUCACCGUGCUGACAAGUCAUUGUUUCAGGUGUUCAGGUACUGAGGAGCUGUUGGACCAGAGGUCAGAGGUGUUCCACAGGACAAGCUUCUCCUCACCAACAGAUCUGGAGAUCAGGCAGGAGUUGGUGUUCUCAGGGAGGUUGAAGGUGUAAGACCUUUCUUCCU